rnacentral:rRNA from 1 species
GAUGAACGCUGGCGGCGUGCCUAAUACAUGCAAGUCGAGCGAACAGACGAGGAGCUUGCUCCUCUGACGUUAGCGGCGGACGGGUGAGUAACACGUGGAUAACCUACCUAUAAGACUGGGAUAACUUCGGGAAACCGGAGCUAAUACCGGAUAAUAUAUUGAACCGCAUGGUUCAAUAGUGAAAGAAGGUUUUGCUGUCACUUAUAGAUGGAUCCGCGCCGCAUUAGCUAGUUGGUAAGGUAACGGCUUACCAAGGCAACGAUGCGUAGCCGACCUGAGAGGGUGAUCGGCCACACUGGAACUGAGACACGGUCCAGACUCCUACGGGAGGCAGCAGUAGGGAAUCUUCCGCAAUGGGCGAAAGCUUGCCGGAGCAACGCCGCGUGAGUGAUGAAGGUCUUCGGAUCGUAAAACUCUGUUAUUAGGGAAGAACAAAUGUGUAAGUAACUAUGCACGUCUUGACGGUACCUAAUCAGAAAGCCACGGCUAACUACGUG